AUUUCACAUUAUUCAUUUUCUCAAAUAUAAUCGAUAUAAUAGCUUGGGUUUUACCAAUUCUUCCAGAAGCCUGGGGUUGCUCAGUCACCACAGAGGCAUCCACAGUAUUCCCAGCGUGAUGGUACGUUUAUAGUCCCCAUUUUACAGAUGAGGCCAUUGAGGCAGAGAGGUUGAAUGGUUAGAGUCCGCAUUUAAACCCAGGAAGUCUGAUUUCAUCAACUAAUGUAGUUACUAAACCUACACUAGAACUGGUCAUAAACUCAAAUGACAAGCAAGGUGAGGCGAGAAAACUAGAUGUCAUGGUUUGUUUAACAGAGGGGGGACUGGUUUUUUUUUUAAAAAAAAUAUUUUAUCCACAGUAAGAAAAAGACCCACACAAGCA